GAACCUGGCUCUUCACCGCCUGCAGCGUCUCACACCUGCGGCUCAUUUAGUAAUCAACCUGUGCAGUCAAAUACUCCGGUUCAGCUUCCACUCUUUUCAGUUUACCUCCCGUGUAACCACCUGAGACGUUGCCGGCCUGCCUGCCAGUCCGCCCUGAACUGAACAGAAGGACGCCAUAGCCAAGACCCGCUCAAUCUGGAAGCCUCCGCUUUUCCCCAAACCAUUCGUUUCCUUUCAUGCUCUGUCGGAAAUAAACCUGCUCGGGCUUUUGACAUCUAA